rnacentral:rRNA from 1 species
CGGAGGGAAGCAGUUGGUAUCGGCGGUACGGUUCGUAGGGAGGGGGAGGAGAGGAGGAGGAGGAGGAGGAGAGGGAAGGCGACGAGGAUUCGUAUAAGGAAGAAAGCUGAACCGGCAAAACCAAUAGACAGGGUAGUUAAGAAGAGACAAAACCACUUCCUACAAACCACGUAGACAAGUACGGAACAACAGAAGUUUAGGACGGUCUACGUCUAGGUGAAGGGAACUCUUAUUUCUGGGUCUAGGCGGCUCGGGGAGUGACCACAAGUUGACACGGCGACCAGGUUAUUUCAAAACUAGAACGACACCCAAAGACGCUCAUAACGAUCCAAGAAACACGUAGAAUGGUGUACUACUUAAGAAAAUCACCAAGGACAGAGAGAACAAACUAAGAUAUCGUAUUUAAACUUUAAUAGGUACGUUAUGAUACACUUUAAAGAACAAGGCAAGUACGGGUUAAGAAGGAGAUAAAACAAAGGAUUGUCCACUAAACCCGUACGACUACUGGUUAAACCUAGGUACUUCUGUCAAACCACUAAUUAGGUGGAAAAAUAACCAAGAGAAAACAGCAAGUGCGGAUAAGCCGUUGUACAACCACUCUAUACGGGCUAACUAAACGGAACUUAGAUCAGGGGCAGGGGUUGGAGGAGAGGGAGAGUAUGGGGUGUGGUACCGGCAGGUUGGAAACGAGGACCUUCGACAUGGGGUUUGGUAAAGAAAGUCACAUUCCCCAACAAACAACUAAGAACUGUGUGAAGAUUUUUGUUUUAGUACGGGGCUGGACAACCUAUAGUAGUUGUACUUACCAUAUAAAGGAACGGAAAAACGUUGCUAUUAGAAGUUCCAUUCUCCCUAAUACAAACAAUGAGGAUGAAGUCACUAAGUUCAUAAACUCUCUAGUGUUUAAGACACAUCAGAAAUCUAAAUCAGAUCGUACUAAGUCACUAAAUGUUCAUAAGUCCUUCACACCGGUUUACACACUCGAUCUAAGACGCCUCAAUCAUAUAAUGGUGGGUCACAUCACGAAAACACCGAUAUACAAACACUUUUGUGUUUCUUUAACGAACAGAAUAGGUUAUAACGGAUUUUUUGGUGCUUGGUGGUCUUCUAUAACAGUAUCAUAAAAUCGAUAGAAAAAAAAAAGUAAAUUAGUACCUGCGUAAUCAGACAAUAGAUGAGCUUACUGCGAGGAGAUUGUGGUCUAAAAUCAGUUGAGAUGACGUACGUCCUAGAACUGGAAUGUUCUGGACGUCGGGGUUCCUUGGGAGGUUCUGGGGUCAAACUUUGUAGAUGUUUCCUCCAAAAUUCCUUUCGGCUAAAAUCCCAAUCUCUGCGGGAACGAAGUUUCUGGACUUUAUGCCUUCGAAGACUUCACGUGUAGAUGUGGAACGGAAGUUCAAAGGAGACAAACUACCACCAUUAAUGUGCCGGUUGGUUCUAUACGACAAAGACUGACGGAAAUAAUGGAGGGAACAAACUUACUUCGGAACUUUCCAUAGAAGAAGUUAGGAAAGAGUACCUCAUAGCUCAUAAAGGAACGUCAUCGACUACACGUGUGAGGUACGUGAAAAAAAAUCUUUUUUGGUAAGGUAUACGAAAGUCGCAGUAAAACAUCACACGUUUCGACAUCAUUUUAUGACUAUAAAAGAACGUCGGCCGUCUUAUAAACUACUCGUUUGAUACAUGUAUUUACUACGUAAUGAACAAUAAGAAUGUACAAUCAACACUUAGCGUAGUAGUUAUCGAAUCCAUUCUAGUGAUACUACAGUAGGAAGGUGCCAACUUGACAAUAAUGAAUAUUUAAAUCAAACAUGUAAAACAAUCUGAGAACCAACUUAAAAAACCGGGACAAAAUGAUUAUUAGUCGUGGUGCUCGUUUAGAACUUCAGGUCCGUCUCCCGACUCGUACGAACAAACGAGUACAUCGUUUAAUUGGUUACACAAGGACCCGGUAGAAAGUCUAUUACUAUAAAUUUACAAUACCGACGAGACAAAUACAACUGUAAAAACCCCAGGCAGCUACGUACGACUCUUUGAUAAA